rnacentral:misc_RNA from 1 species
GAAAUGCGAUACGUAAUGCGAAUUGCAGAAUUCAGUGAAUCAUCAAAUCUUUGAACGCAACUUGCGCUUUUGGGUAUCCCUGAAAGCAUACCUCUCUGAGUAUCGUUUCAACACAAACUCGACUGCGUCCUUCCUUCGGGAAGACAAACGCGUGUCGGUAAAUGAGUUGUCUCAGCGUCGAAGCGUUGAGUCACUUGAAGCGAAUAUCACUUCCCAUAUCAAUUCGAUUCAAGUUUCGGCUUGACUAAUUGAUGUUUGAUAAUUGACCUUUGGUCAUUUCACUAUCACAUCGGUUAGUAGAAUUAUGUAUGGCAGUGAAUUACAAGGAACCUUUAAGGAUGCGUUACACACUUUGAUUAGUGUUUGUACGCUUCUUUUCUGAUCUUGAUCUCAGAUGAAG